rnacentral:rRNA from 1 species
UACAGAGGGUGCGAGCGUUGUCCGGAAUCAUUGGGCGUAAAGAGCGUGUAGGCGGUCCGUUAAGUCGGCUGUGAAAGUCCAAGGCUCAACCUUGGGAUGCCGGUCGAUACUGCCGGACUAGAGUUCGGAAGAGGCGAGUGGAAUUCCCGGUGUAGCGGUGAAAUGCGCAGAUAUCGGGAGGAACACCUAUGGCGAAGGCAGCUCGCUGGGACGUUACUGACGCUGAGACGCGAAAGCGUGGGGAGCAAACAGG